GAUGAAGAACGCAGCGAAAUGCGAUAAGUAAUGUGAAUUGCAGAAUUCAGUGAAUCAUCGAAUCUUUGAACGCACAUUGCGCCCGCCAGUAUUCUGGCGGGCAUGCCUGUUCGAGCGUCAUUUCAACCAUCAAGCCCCAGGCUUGUGUUGGGGUCCUGCGGCUGCCGCAGGCCCUGAAAAACAGUGGCGGGCUCGCUGUCACACCGAGCGUAGUAAUACAUCUCGCUUUGGACGUGCGGCGGGUUCUUGCCGUUAAACACCCCCCUUCUCAAGGUUGACCUCGGGUCAGGUAGGAAUACCCGCUGAACUUAAGCAUAUCAAUAAGCGGAGGA
rnacentral:misc_RNA from 1 species